CCUACGGGUGGCAGCAGUGGGGGAUAUUGCACAAUGGGGGAAACCCUGAUGCAGCGACGCCGCGUGUGGGAAGACGGUCCUCUGGAUUGUAAACCACUGUCCCCAGGGACGAAGAUGACGGUACCUGGGGAGGAAGCUCCGGCUAACUACGUGCCAGCAGCCGCGGUAAUACGUAGGGAGCGAGCGUUGUCCGGAAUUACUGGGUGUAAAGGGAGCGUAGGCGGGACUGCAAGUUGGGUGUCAAAUCUACCGGCUCAGCCGGUAGCCGCACUCAAAACUGCAGUUCUUGAGUGAAGUAGAGGCAGGCGGAAUUCGUAGUGUAGCGGUGAAAUGCGUAGAUAUUAGGAGGAACACCAGUGGCGAAGGCGGCCUGCUGGGCUUUUACUGACGCUGAGGCUCGAAAGUGUGGGGAGCGAACAGGAUUAGAUACCCCUGUAGUC
rnacentral:rRNA from 1 species